rnacentral:tRNA from 2 species
GGUUGUGUAGUGUAGUGGUUAUCACUCUGGAUUUUGACAAAGGUGUCAAAAUUUCCAGAAACCCCGGUUCGAACCCGGGCACGACCU